UCAGGAAAGUNUGGAGUAAAAGGCUAUGGCUCAACCAUAGUGUGCUCUGGAAACUNUCUGACUUGAGUGCAGAAGGGGAGAGUGGAAUUCCAUGUGUAGCGGUGAAAUGCGUAGAUAUAUGGAGGAACACCAGUGGCGAAAGCGGCUCUCUGGUCUGUCACUGACGCUGAGGCUCGAAAGCGUGGGUAGCGAACAGGAUUAGAUACCCUGGUAGUCCACGCCGUAAACGAUGAGUGCUAGGUGUUAGGCCCUUUCCGGGGCUUAGUGCCGGAGCUAACGCAAUAAGCACUCCGCCUGGGGAGUACGACCGCAAGGUUGAAACUCAAAGGAAUUGACGGGGGCCCGCACAAGCGGUGGAGCAUGUGGUUUAAUUCGAAGCAACGCGAAGAACCUUACCAGGUCUUGACAUCCCGAUGCUAUUCUUAGAGAUAGGAAGUUACUUCGGUACAUCGGAGACAGGUGGUGCAUGGUUGUCGUCAGCUCGUGUCGUGAGAUGUUGGGUUNNNNNNNNCAACGAGCGCAACCCUUAUUGUUAGUUGCCAUCAUUAAGUUGGGCACUCUAGCGAGACUGCCGGUAAUAAACCGGAGGAAGGUGGGGAUGACGUCAAAUCAUCAUGCCCCUUAUGACCUGGGCUACACACGUGCUACAAUGGUCGGUACAACGAGUUGCGAGCCGGUGACGGCAAGCUAAUCUCUGAAAGCCGAUCUCAGUUCGGAUUGGAGGCUGCAACUCGCCUCCAUGAAGUCGGAAUCGCUAGUAAUCGCAGAUCAGCACGCCGCGGUGAAUACGUUCCCGGGCCU
rnacentral:rRNA from 1 species